rnacentral:rRNA from 1 species
UACGAAGGGGGGCUAGCGUUGCUCGGAAUGACUGGGCGUAAAGGGCGCGUAGGCGGAAUGCUUUGUCGGGCGUGAAAUUCCAGGGCUCAACCUUGGGGCUGCGUUCGAGACGGGUAUUCUUGAGUUCGGAAGAGGAGAGUGGAAUUCCUGGUGUAGCGGUGAAAUGCGUAGAUAUCGGGAGGAACACCAGUGGCGAAGGCGGCCUUCUGGGAUGAUCCGUGACGCUCAGACACGAAAGGCUAGGGGAGCGAACGGG